rnacentral:rRNA from 1 species
AACCAACAGGGAUUGCCUCAGUAGCGGCGAGUGAAGCGGCAAGAGCUCAGAUUUGAAAUCGUGCUUUGCGGCACGAGUUGUAGAUUGCAGGUUGGAGUCUGUGUGGAAGGCGGUGUCCAAGUCCCUUGGAACAGGGCGCCCAGGAGGGUGAGAGCCCCGUGGGAUGCCGGCGGAAGCAGUGAGGCCCUUCUGACGAGUCGAGUUGUUUGGGAAUGCAGCUCCAAGCGGGUGGUAAAUUCCAUCUAAGGCUAAAUACUGGCGAGAGACCGAUAGCGAACAAGUACUGUGAAGGAAAGAUGAAAAGCACUUUGAAAAGAGAGUGAAACAGCACGUGAAAUUGUUGAAAGGGAAGGGUAUUGCGCCCGACAUGGGGAUUGCGCACCGCUGCCUCUCGUGGGCGGCGCUCUGGGCUUUCCCUGGGCCAGCAUCGGUUCUUGCUGCAGGAGAAGGGGUUCUGGAACGUGGCUCUUCGGAGUGUUAUAGCCAGGG